AGGUCCCGCCUGCCCAGUGAAUCUUAAACGGCCGCGGUAUUAUAACCGUGCAAAGGUAGCGUAAUCACUUGUCUUUUAAAUAAAGACCUGUAUGAACGGCUAAAUGAGGACAAACCUGUCUCCUGUAACUAAUCAGUGAAACUGAUCUUCCAGUACAAAAGCUGGAAUACCCCCAUAAGACGAGAAGACCCUGUGGAGCUUAAAAUCCACUACUAACCACGGAACUAGUACACAUUUUAAGUUGGGGCGACUUCGGAAAAAACCAAAACUUCCGAGCACAGAACCACAAGUUCUAAUCAAGGCCAACAAGCCUAGACCAAAACCUGACCCAGUCAAACUGAGCAACGAACCAAGUUACCCCAGGGAUAACAGCGCCAUCUUCUUCAAGAGUCCCUAUCGACAAGAAGGUUUACGACCUCGAUGUUGGAUCAGGACACCCAAAUGGUGCAGCCGCUAUUAAUGGUUCGUUUGUUCAACGAUUAACAGUCCUACGUGAUCUGAGU
rnacentral:rRNA from 1 species